rnacentral:tRNA from 2 species
GGGGCCAUAGCUCAGAUGGGAGAGCGCCUGCCUUGCACGCAGGAGGUCGCCGGUUCGACUCCGGUUGGCUCCACCA